rfam:Aedes albopictus isolate Foshan contig13506, whole genome shotgun sequence.
UGCCCAGCAACUCCUAUCCAUACCUCCUCGUGGUACCGGCCAGAAACUUUAAGCAACCUUAGGGAAGA